ACUGCUCUGCUUCGGAGGAGCUGUUUUGCAGUGAGGAGAAGGUGGUGAGAGAGGCAGCAGGAGAGUGCUGGGGACAAGGGCUGAAGGGCUGAGGAAGAGGAGGAGAGCAGAGAGGAGGAACUGUCUUGAAGAAAGCAAGAUCACCAUCUGCCACCCACCCGCUACACUUGUUAACCUGCAGCAGGGGUGGAACUGAGAUGGCCAAAUACCUCUUCUCAGCACCUUGCUUACCUCCAGCAAUUGAGAAGUUCAUAAAUUCUGGACCUUUUUUUCCCCCGUUGCUGAUGUCCAUCUGAUGAGGAAGUCACAGAAGUUAAUAUACCAGAGCUGCAUGGGAGAACUGGAAGUAGAAGGACUCACCUUUGGGAAAGGCCCAAGUGGAAAAUUCAGGAAAUUCAGGCUCACUUGGUCUUUCAUGACUAAAAUUCCAGGUCCUUGGGAAAUCACCAAGAAGGUAUUCCUUUUCAGGAUGGUGGUCCUGUUGUCUCAAGGGAAGAGAAGCUAUUACAAGAGGUCACAGCCAAGUAUUCAGUUGGAAAAGAAUAAAAAGGCAAAUGUGUUGUCAUGUUGCUGUAGCUGUGUUGAUUUACUCAUUCACCUUUAUAUCUUCUCUUCUUUUCAAUGACAAGUAAUCUGUGCUUCUCCUACAGUGAAAAUGAAUAGUGUUUUGCUUUUGUUUGUUUGUUUGUUUGUUUUAUUUAUAUGGGCCUAGAACAGAACCUGAUGAAAGCAUCCCUAGUGCAAGUCCCAAGACGCAUGCAAGAUCAACAAAUGCUUUCUAAUGCUUUCUAACAGCCGUGAAAUAUUUGUUUUGUCUUUGAGAAUCACAUUUAUUGUGUCAAAAGAACAGAUAAGAAGCAGAUAAUCAUUUUACAGAUAUAAAUAAAAUGUAAUUCUAUUGAAAAUAAUAUUGCUUU
rnacentral:lncRNA from 1 species